AGCUUAUCGUGGCCGAUCAGAAGACCCGUCAACGUAGUGUAUGAACGGUCCCUCGACAAUGAUUCCUUAGAGGCAAGUAAGGGCUAUUUGCUUCGGGAAAGACAGACCAGCUCCAACUGGCCACAGUCCCCACCAUUCCCUACUGUUCAGCCUCUGCCAGCUUCGCCUGCGUCCUUUCCAUCCCAGGGUCCGCAGACGUUUGAAUUCAAGAUCCCCGCCCUGGCCUCUUCGAGACCCUCACCUUCAGGAGUACCUGGACGAGGCAGUAAAAAUACGACCUGGCCCUUUGGAUCACGGCACACAGGAUACCGUUACAUUUCAUCUCGGGACGAUUGUUCUCUGAGCAAAGUGUGUUAUUUUCCUGGAGGUAAUCCCUUACCAGAUUGUGGAUUCUCCGUGUUCAACAUCAGCCACUACAACCAAAAAGCAACGAACUGUGUUAUUGACAAUGUUUUAAUUACAAGACGUAAAAGAUACAAGACAGCAAAAACAAGAAAGUGAUCUGCCUAGGAGUGGCAUUGGUGUAUUUAAGAAAACUCACAGGGGCCGCGGCUCCGGUAGGAAACACACUACAUUUUUUUUCCCCCCUUAAUGCUAAAAAUUCUAAUAGCAAAUGUGAGAUUGCUUUGAAAGAAAUAAGAGCAUUAACAGAAACGAUUGUCCCUGGCAGCGCAAUAAAUGAAAUUAGAAGCUCUUAACA
rnacentral:lncRNA from 1 species